rnacentral:rRNA from 1 species
UACGGAGGGUGCAAGCGUUGUUCGGAAUUAUUGGGCGUAAAGCGCGUGUAGGCGGCUAUUUAAGUCAGGUGUAAAAGACCGCAGCUCAACUGCGGGGUGGCACUUGAAACUGGACAUCUUGAGGGCAGGAGAGGAAAGCAGAAUUCCUGGUGUAGCGGUGAAAUGCGUAGAAAUCAGGAGGAAUACCGGUGGCGAAGGCGACUUACUGGACUGUAACUGACGCUGAGGCACGAAAGCUGGGGGAGCAAACCGG